GGUUAAGCGACUAAGCGUACACGGUGGAUGCCCUGGCAGUCAGAGGCGAUGAAGGACGUGCUAAUCUGCGAAAAGCGUCGGUAAGGUGAUAUGAACCGUUAUAGCCGGCGAUGUCCGAAUGGGGAAACCCAGUGCAAUUCGUUGCACUAUCGUUAACUGAAUACAUAGGUUAACGAGGCGAACCGGGGGAACUGAAACAUCUAAGUACCCCGAGGAAAAGAAAUCAACCGAGAUUCCCCCAGUAGCGGCGAGCGAACGGGGAGCAGCCCAGAGUCUGAAUCAGCUUGUGUGUUAGUGGAACGGUCUGGAAAGUCCGACGGUACAGGGUGAUAGUCCCGUACACCAAAAUGCACAGGCUGUGAACUCGAAGAGUAGGGCGGGACACGUGGUAUCCUGUCUGAAUAUGGGGGGACCAUCCUCCAAGGCUAAAUACUCCUGACUGACCGAUAGUGAACCAGUACCGUGAGGGAAAGGCGAAAAGAACCCCGGCGAGGGGAGUGAAAAAGAACCUGAAACCGUGUACGUACAAGCAGUGGGAGCACCUUCGGGUGUGACUGCGUACCUUUUGUAUAAUGGGUCAGCGACUUAUAUUCUGUAGCAAGGUUAACCGUAUAGGGGAGCCGCAGGGAAACCGAGUCUUAACUGGGCGUUAAGUUGCAGGGUAUAGACCCGAAACCCGGUGAUCUAGCCAUGGGCAGGUUGAAGGUUGGGUAACACUAACUGGAGGACCGAACCGACUAAUGUUGAAAAAUUAGCGGAUGACUUGUGGCUGGGGGUGAAAGGCCAAUCAAACCGGGAGAUAGCUGGUUCUCCCCGAAAGCUAUUUAGGUAGCGCCUCGUGAAUUCAUCUUCGGGGGUAGAGCACUGUUUCGGCUAGGGGGUCAUCCCGACUUACCAACCCGAUGCAAACUACGAAUACCGAAGAAUGUUAUCACGGGAGACACACGGCGGGUGCUAACGUCCGUCGUGAAGAGGGAAACAACCCAGACCGCCAGCUAAGGUCCCAAAGUCAUGGUUAAGUGGGAAACGAUGUGGGAAGGCACAGACAGCCAGGAUGUUGGCUUAGAAGCAGCCAUCAUUUAAAGAAAGCGUAAUAGCUCACUGGUCGAGUCGGCCUGCGCGGAAGAUGUAACGGGGCUAAACCAUGCACCGAAGCUGCGGCAGCGACACUAUGUGUUGUUGGGUAGGGGAGCGUUCUGUAAGCCUGCGAAGGUGACCUGUGAGGGUUGCUGGAGGUAUCAGAAGUGCGAAUGCUGACAUAAGUAACGAUAAAGCGGGUGAAAAGCCCGCUCGCCGGAAGACCAAGGGUUCCUGUCCAACGUUAAUCGGGGCAGGGUGAGUCGACCCCUAAGGCGAGGCCGAAAGGCGUAGUCGAUGGGAAACAGGUUAAUAUUCCUGUACUUGGUGUUACUGCGAAGGGGGGACGGAGAAGGCUAUGUUAGCCGGGCGACGGUUGUCCCGGUUUAAGCAUGUAGGCUGGUUAUCCAGGCAAAUCCGGAUAAUCAAGGCUGAGGUGUGAUGACGAGGCACUACGGUGCUGAAGUAACAAAUGCCCUGCUUCCAGGAAAAGCCUCUAAGCAUCAGGUAACAUCAAAUCGUACCCCAAACCGACACAGGUGGUCAGGUAGAGAAUACCAAGGCGCUUGAGAGAACUCGGGUGAAGGAACUAGGCAAAAUGGUGCCGUAACUUCGGGAGAAGGCACGCUGGUGUGUAGGUGAAGUCCCUGCGGAUGGAGCUGAGACCAGUCGAAGAUACCAGCUGGCUGCAACUGUUUAUUAAAAACACAGCACUGUGCAAACACGAAAGUGGACGUAUACGGUGUGACGCCUGCCCGGUGCCGGAAGGUUAAUUGAUGGGGUUAUCCGUAAGGAGAAGCUCUUGAUCGAAGCCCCGGUAAACGGCGGCCGUAACUAUAACGGUCCUAAGGUAGCGAAAUUCCUUGUCGGGUAAGUUCCGACCUGCACGAAUGGCGUAAUGAUGGCCAGGCUGUCUCCACCCGAGACUCAGUGAAAUUGAACUCGCUGUGAAGAUGCAGUGUACCCGCGGCAAGACGGAAAGACCCCGUGAACCUUUACUAUAGCUUGACACUGAACAUUGAGCCUUGAUGUGUAGGAUAGGUGGGAGGCUUUGAAGCGUGGACGCCAGUCUGCGUGGAGCCAACCUUGAAAUACCACCCUUUAAUGUUUGAUGUUCUAACGUUGGCCCCUGACCGGGGUUGCGGACAGUGUCUGGUGGGUAGUUUGACUGGGGCGGUCUCCUCCCAAAGCGUAACGGAGGAGCACGAAGGUUAGCUAAUCCUGGUCGGACAUCAGGAGGUUAGUGCAAUGGCAUAAGCUAGCUUGACUGCGAGCGUGACGGCGCGAGCAGGUGCGAAAGCAGGUCAUAGUGAUCCGGUGGUUCUGAAUGGAAGGGCCAUCGCUCAACGGAUAAAAGGUACUCCGGGGAUAACAGGCUGAUACCGCCCAAGAGUUCAUAUCGACGGCGGUGUUUGGCACCUCGAUGUCGGCUCAUCACAUCCUGGGGCUGAAGUAGGUCCCAAGGGUAUGGCUGUUCGCCAUUUAAAGUGGUACGCGAGCUGGGUUUAGAACGUCGUGAGACAGUUCGGUCCCUAUCUGCCGUGGGCGCUGGAGAAUUGAGGGGGGCUGCUCCUAGUACGAGAGGACCGGAGUGGACGCAUCACUGGUGUUCGGGUUGUCAUGCCAAUGGCACUGCCCGGUAGCUAAAUGCGGAAGAGAUAAGUGCUGAAAGCAUCUAAGCACGAAACUUGCCCCGAGAUGAGUUCUCCCUGAGACUUUAAGUCUCCUGAAGGAACGUU
rnacentral:rRNA from 1 species